CGACCCCAGGACGGGCGGGAU
rnacentral:rRNA from 1 species